ensembl:snoRNA SNORA72 Small nucleolar RNA SNORA72
GGGUGACCAUUCUUGCUAUUCUGAUUUCUUAAUAAUCAGGGCAGGCUCAGCAUUCACUAUAUUAAGACCAUGCAUGUGUCCCCAGGCCUAGUUCUUUCCCUAGGUCUGGUUUUAUAAAUUCUGGUGAUAAAU